AGCCGUUGAAGCCGACUUAUAUGCCGGUGUUUCUGACGAAGAAGGAAAGAAAGAAGCUGCGUCGACAGAGUCGCAGGGAGGCGUGGAAGGAGGAGCAGGAGAAGGUCAGACUUGGGCUGGAAGCACCGCCCGAACCAAAACUCAGGAUAUCCAACUUGAUGAGAGCUCUGGGCUCUUGAAGGUCCGGGAGCAGAUCGCCCAGAGGCAGAAAACUCAUUUGGAGGCGAACAAGGCGCGAGCUCUUACGAAAGAUCAGAAGAGAGAGAAGACUGAUGCUGCACAGUAUAAACUGGGAGGAGGACAUGGUGAAGAACGCGGAGGGUAACAAGGUCCCCAACAGUUGUAGCCUUGUAUGGGAGGGGAUCGUCAAGCAGAGGGCCUUCGGAGAUGUCAAGUUUAAGGUGAUGCCGACGCUCGGGAACAUUUCCAGAAACAUCGCGUAGAACAUUAUUGGGACCUUGCCUACAGUGGCGCCGUGCUGGCGCCCACUGACGAACCUUAGCGCCCUGUGACCAAGCCUGGCGCCUCUUGAUGAACUCUAGCGCCCACUGACCAAUAUUGGCGCCCAAUGACAAACCCUGGCGCCCACCGACCAACUCUAGCGCCCUAGCCUGUAAAGCGUUAAUUGAUAUAAAAAUA